UACGAAUUGGUAGUAAUUAGAAUAUUGUUUAUUUUCCAGGAAAUGAUAGAUGCUAUCUGCAGUGAAGGAUGACCUGCCCUCUCUGUAUAUUGCCAAGUUUUCAACAUUUUAAUUCCGAAGAAAGGGAAGAAAGGAAGAAAAUAUAGUUUCACCAUGCUAUCAUUUGGAUUAUUGCCAAAUAAUUUUCAGUGGUUGAUAAAGCAUUGCCCAGUCUUUCCUAUAAAUGGGUCAAAGGUUCGAGUAAUCACAGAGCCAAAUGAAUUCUAUUCAGAACUUAUAUCAAAAGCCUCCAAAGCCAGGAAUCGUAUAAGUUUGUCUUCUCUCUACUUGGGAACUGGAAAACUAGAGGAGAAUUUGGUGUCAACCUUACUAAAUCGAGCGGCAGAAUGUCAGGACCUGAAAAUCCAUUGGCUUUUAGACUUCACUCGUGGUUCACGUGGUGUCCAUAAUUCCCGCACAAUGUUACAGCCCCUCAUUGCCAGUCAUCCUCAGACUUGCUCUAAAACUACGACUCGUCUGUCAACUCCCUUGCACACUAGCAAACCCACACACAGUCAACACAUGAGCACUCCCAAGGCACUCACUCAACAAGUUCACACAACAGCUGUCUCACUUGCCUCUGUUUUUUAUGCGACUCACCCACAGGUUUCUCUGUAUCAUACCCCAAAUCUUCGAGGUUUUUUGAAAUGGCUGAUCCCUCAACGAUGGAAUGAAGUCAUAGGGUUGCAACAUAUGAAACUUUAUGUCUUUGAUGACUCUUUGAUUAUGUCAGGGGCCAACUUAAGUAAUGAUUAUUUUACUAAUCGACAAGACAGAUAUGUCGCCAUUGAAAAUUGUCCAGCAUUGGCAGACUUUUAUCAUCGUCUUAUUGGUGCUGUUAGUAGAUAUUCUUUACAACUACAUGAAGAUAACUCAACUAACAUGCUGCCUGAUGUAAAUGUUCAUCCAUUUUUGGGUGAUUAUGCAAAGUACUGCAUGGCUAUGAAACAGUCGGUAGAGAAGAUGUGGAAUGAGGAAUGUGAGAAGAAUUUGACAAGACUCCGGCAGAUAAAUCAGGUCACAGAGGGAUCCUCUCUGAAUCAUGGUGAUCCUGUGAACAACUCAUCAACAAAGUCAGCUGAUUCUUCUGUGGCUGAGUUGGAUACUUUAGUUUUCCCCACAGUAGAACUGGGACCUUUUAACCUUGUUAAUGAUAGCCUUGUUACAAACCUUUUAUUUGAAUCUGCUGAGGAUCAUGCCAAAAUCCAGUUAGCCUCAGGAUACUUCAACUUGACGGAAGAAUACAAGAACUGCAUUCUUGAGAAAUCCAAGGCCAAUUUUGGGAUUCUCAUGGCCCAUCCUACAGCUAAUGGAUUUCUUGGUGCUCAUGGUGUUGCUGGAGGUAUACCAGCAGCUUACACCUUAAUUGCUAAGAGGUUUUUUAAUAAAAUUCAGCAAAAUAACAUCCAGCGGGUAGAAUUGUUUGAAUAUCAGCGACCAAAAUGGACAUUCCAUGGAAAGGGUCUUUGGUAUUACAAACCAGAUCAGUCCUUGCCUUUUCUGACUAUGAUUGGAUCACCAAAUUUUGGCAGACGGUCUGUAAAUCGAGAUCUGGAGAGCCAGUUGGUGAUUAUGACCAGUAAUCAUCCUCUUCAAACAGCUCUGCAUGGAGAGCAACACCACCUUUAUAGUUCAGCUAAUUUAGUGACUCGUCAAACUUUUACUCAAGCAGAUCGAUUAGUUCCAUACUGGCUAGGCCAGGGGGUCCACAGAAAACCACCCCAGCUGAGGAUGACGCCAUUAUCAGGGCGGCUCGAGAGCAACCCUUGACCAACGCCGAGGCCAUUCAUGAAGACCUUGGAUUAGAAGUGUCAUCAAUGACAGUACAACGCAGACUCCAAACUGCUGGGAUUCAUCACAGAACUCCAGCGACGAAGGAGCUCUUGACGGAGCGACAUAAGGCAGGAAGGCUUGAUUUUGCCCAACGUAAUGCUGAUAAGGGUUUGGACUUUUGGGGCAGGGUCAUCUUUACUAACGAGAAGUGCUUCUCGUCCACAUCGCAUGGGAAGCUGCAUUGUUGGCGAACAAAUAGAACUCGAUAUGAACCACAUAACAUCGUUGAGGUGGUUCGAUCUGGCCAUGUCACCUGCAACGUAUGAGGCUGGGUGUGUCUGCAUGGUAUGGGUGAUGUGUUCCGUAUCGAGGGACGAUUUACAGCAGCUAAGUAUGUUGAGCUGCUGCAAACCUCCUUCUUGCCUUCGUUACGAGAAGGACAUUUUCCCUUCCCACCAGGGCCCAUCCUGUUCACACUGCUCACGUUGUUCAAGAGUGGUUUGCAGACAGGAUAACCUGCUUCUUCUUGAAUGGCCGAGCAAAGGAGCAGAUAUGAAUGUGAUUGAACACGUGUGGGCCCAGAUGGUGAACACAUGGAAAAUGGAACAUGAGAGAACAACACAGCAACUCAUGGCUCACAUCAACUCUCAGUGGAAAAUUUGUAGACGGAGACCGCAGCAAAUUUUCAACCUUGUUCAUUCGAUGCCCGACAGAUUGAGGGAAGUGACUGAGAGAGAGGGUGGAUGGUCAAGGUAUUCGAUUGUAUAAUAUAAAUGUUAUAUUUUUUGUAAUAGGACCUAAAAUGUUCUAAUUUUGUUCUCUCUAGUUAUUUGAUUAUAUGUUUUAAUAAACAUAAUUCACAACAAGUUU